GUAUGAAGAAGCUUCAGCAGUACAGACACUGAAACUGGAAUGAGGAAGAUUAGCAUGAUCCCUGAGCAAGGAGGACAGACAGAUUCAUGAAGCAGUCCAUACUGCU